GGGUAAGGAUGAGUCUUCCCCAACCACCAUGAAUGAUGCCAGAUAAGGUGGGGAAAUCUCUGCUGGAACUAUGGGUAACACAAGAUGACCAGAAGAGUGCCAGUCUUUGAUUAAUGACAAUGAAGGAAGACUUUGGGCAGAUAAAGGAACCUGGCCAAAUUGGAGAAGCAAGCAUAGAGGGACACACAGCAGACUGAAAAACAGAUUAUUCAAGUUGGCUUAUCAAACAAUGAUUUACUCUUAAGGUGUCUUUCAAUACACCUAUGAAUAUGCUACCCCUUGAGCCUUCUACUUGGGGAUCUCUGACCAUGGUGAUGAGGGAUUGGUCUGAAGA